AUUGAACGCUAGCGGGAUGCUUUACACAUGCAAGUCGAACGAGUGGCGGGCGUGAGAGUAAUGUACCGGCCCGUGCCCAGUAGCUGGCUAUAACUAAUCGAAAGAGAUGCCAAUUCCGCCCUCUAUUGCAGCGGCCGGUAUCGGAUUAGGUAGGUGUAAGGGUUAAGGCUCACCAAGGUGACGAUCCGUAGCUGGUUUGAGAGGACGACCAGCCACACUGGGACUGAGACACGGCCCAGACUCCUACGGGAGGCAGCAGUGGGGAAUUUUGGACAAUGGGGGAAACCCUGAUCCAGCCAUCCCGCGUGUAUGAGAAGGCCUUCGGGUUGUAAAGUACUUUUGGCAGGGAAGCGGUAUCUGCAGAAUAAGCACCGGCUAACUACGUGCCAGCCGCCGCGGUAAUUC
rnacentral:rRNA from 1 species